GCCUCAUUAGCACAGUGGUAGUGCGUUGCACUUGUAAAGUUGACUUCCAGUCUUAAAACAUGCAAAGGUCGCUUGUUCAAUCCAGGCAUGAGGCA
rnacentral:tRNA from 1 species